UACGAAGGGGGCUAGCGUUGUUCGGAAUUACUGGGCGUAAAGCGCGCGCAGGCGGUUCUCCAAGUCAGUGGUGAAAGCCCGGAGCUCAACUCCGGAACUGCCAUUGAAACUGUUGAACUUGAGGACGAGAGGGGUGAGUGGAAUUCCCAGUGUAGAGGUGAAAUGCGCAGAUAUCAGGAGGAACACCGGUGGCGAAGGCGGGUCUCUGGGCCAAAACUGACGCUGAGGAGCGAAAGCGUGGGGAGCGAACAGG
rnacentral:rRNA from 1 species